CCCUUAGGAGGGUGACAUAUUUUACUUAAUGUUUACUAUGAACAGAGAGAUGAACAAAAGACUUGAUUAUCAAAGCCCAGAGGAGGCUAACUCGAGUCGGUCGUGGGGAUGGAGAAGAAGGGAUGAGUUAUAAAAUACUGGGGGGACUGAUGAGAUGUGGAGGGCCAUGAAGGGAAAGUGUGAAUCCUAGACUUCUGCCCUGAGUGAAUGACUGCUAGGAGGAUAGCGGAACAGGAGCUAUAUUUGGACAGGAAGUAUUGGUUUUAGUUUUGCACAGAUUGAGAUGUCUACUGGACAGAUCCAAUGUCCACUUAGAUGCCCAGAGGACAAAUUCGAUACAGAGGAGAGAGCUGAAGCAGACUGAGAGAAGAGAAGAAAACUCAGGAAACAGGGGAGUUGCAAAGUAACGGGAAGGAGUUCAAAGAUGGAGCUGCCAAACUUGGGGUAGUCAUAACACUUAUCUGGAACCUGCUAAGAGUCAGGCACUGUGCGAGCACUUGAGGAGCCUCACCUUGUUUUUCAGUCCUCACCUUUCCUGACCCCGUGGAGCACUUGACGAUUAGGUUCCUGUGGAGACAGAGCAGUGGGUGUGGUCAGGAGUGCAAUGGGUAGAAGAGAGGCAGGAGGUGAGGCAGUGGAGGGCGAGGCUGGAUUGAACAGAGGAAGCUGUAGAGAAGUCUGCAGUUUGGGAUGGACAUCCAGUCUCAACUAGUCCUUGUUAUUUCACCUCUCUGCCUUCCUGCAGGCACCUUACACUCUCGGAGUACCAAGCCAAGAUAAGGGCUUCUGCCUGGAACAGUGCCUGGGAUGUGAGAGCCACAUGUCCAUACUGGGCUUCCUAGCUUUGGGUGGAGGACGAAACAGAAGCUCUUUGAAGAUAACUUCCUUCCUGAGUUUUUGAUAUCCAGAAACCUAAGCUCAAGAGGGUAUUAUGUUUUGGAGAAUUGAACCAGUAAUUAAAGAAAGAGAUAAAAGAUGGAGAUCAAGGAAGAGGAAAAACAAAGAUCAAGGUAAUCCAAAUUUCAGUUCAGCCCCUGGAUUAGUGAGCACGGACCACACUUCUUGAUUAGAACUCAGGAGAAGGAUGAAUUGCAGCCACAUCUAUAUUUCCAGUGCCUCCUCUGUCUUCCUUUUUGACCUCUUUGCCUCUCUUUUCUCAUAGGCUUAGAGUACAUUUAUGUCUGUUACCAACAAAAAAAUGGGCCUGGGUGACACUGGAACCAAGGAGAAGAGAACCUAAGAAUUCUCAACCCCCAAAUACACUGAUUUCUCCAUUUCCUCUGAGGUUUCCCACUAGAUCUUUUGAAAGUUCUCAAUAGGAAGAUAGUUUGUUAGUGUUGCAGAAGAAUUCGGUAAACCACCGAUUUCCAAUCCUUCUUGGUCCAAGACCAGUGCCUAAGACAGGCCAUUCCUCCAGAACACCAGGGGGAGCUGUUGUGCUGCCUCGUCCUGGCACCAAAAUUGUUCCAGGCGGGGCCUGGAGAUAGACACAUAUAUCCAAACCAUCAAGACAUGAGGACUUUAGGACAUACUAGUCACAGGGAGCAGAAUGUUUGAAAUUGGGAGGGUCCUAGAGUUUCCAGAACUAUGGUGGCCAGUGGCGCAUGGGGGAAAAUGUAGUUUCUGUCACACGUAUGUUCUGUCACCCCUGCAAACUUCUCCCUCUGAGUACAACCACUCACUGUGCUUUGUUUCGGGAUGAAAUCUACAGAUAAAACAGGUGAAAAGUGAAGUCCCCUAAAGUAAUAAAGAGAGAGCAUCUUGGAGGGGAAGAGAUGCAGACAGAAAUACCUCUGCCAUAAUAUAGCUCAUAUUCCAUGUCUCCCAAUUCUUGGAAUGUUUUAUUCCUUAAUAUUUUCCAAGGGCCCAGACCUGUGGUUGGAACAAUAGAUGCUCAGCAAAUACUUAUUGAAGGAAUGACUCCAGUUCCAGGGUUAGUCCUGCCCCUCUCUGAUCACUUGGUCCCUCUGGGAUUGUUUCCUUGUCUGCCAAUGGGUGCUGGUGGGCAGGAGGAGAAAGUGAGGUUGUACUAGCUAAUCACUGGGGUCCUCUCGAUUGGGGAUGUUCUAUAGUUUCCAUAUUCAAGGGCCUGGUUAGUUAAGUGUCUUAAGCAGGGCUCUUCUUUAUUGUUUCCUAGAAUAAACCAACCCAUAUAUGAAAGAGAAACGGUGCUAUUCCUGAGUGCACAUCAGAGUAUGGGCAUGUUGAAUCAAAACAAAAGAUCUCUUUUUAA